AUUGGACGCCAUAGAGGGUGAGAGCCCCGUACGUGGUCGCUAGCCUUUACCGUGUAAAGCCCCUUCGACGAGUCGAGUUGUUUGGGAAUGCAGCUCUAAAUGGGAGGUAAAUUUCUUCUAAAGCUAAAUACUGGCCAGAGACCGAUAGCGCACAAGUAGAGUGAUCGAAAGAUGAAAAGCACUUUGGAAAGAGAGUUAAAAAGCACGUGAAAUUGUUGAAAGGGAAGCGCUUGCAGCCAGACUUGCCUGUAGUUGCUCAUCCGGGUUUUUACCCGGUGCACUCUUCUACGGGCAGGCCAGCAUCAGUUUGGGCGGUUGGAUAAAGGUCUCUGUCAUGUACCUCCUCUCGGGGAGAUCUUAUAGGGGAGACGACAUGCAACCAGCCUGGACUGAGGUCCGCGCAUCUGCUAGGAUGCUGGCGUAAUGGCUGUAAGCGGCCCGUCUUGAAACACGGACCAAGGAGUCUAACAUCUAUGCGAGUGUUUGGGUGUCAAGCCCGAACGCGUAAUGAAAGUGAACGGAGGUGGGAACCUUUCGGGGUGCACCAUCGACCGAUCCUGAUGUUCUCGGAUGGAU
rnacentral:rRNA from 1 species